rnacentral:rRNA from 1 species
AUUGAACGCUGGCGGCAGGCUUAAUACAUGCAAGUCGAGCGCAGGAAGCCGUCUGAACCCUUCGGGGGGACGACGGUGGAAUGAGCGGCGGACGGGUGAGUAACACGUAAAGAACCUGCCCAUAGGUCUGGGAUAACCACGAGAAAUCGGGGCUAAUACCGGAUAUGUCAUCGGACCGCAUGGUCCGCUGAUGAAAGGCGCUCCGGCGUCGCCCAUGGAUGGCUUUGCGGUGCAUUAGCUAGUUGGUGGGGUAACGGCCCACCAAGGCGACGAUGCAGAGCCGAACUGAGAGGGUGAUCGGCCACACUGGGACUGAGACACGGCCCAGACUCCUACGGGAGGCAGCAGUAGGGAAUCUUCCACAAUGGACGAAAGUCUGAUGGAGCAACGCCGCGUGAACGAUGAAGGCUUUCGGGUCGUAAAGUUCUGUUGUAAGGGAAGAACAAGUGCCGCAGGCAAUGGCGGCACCUUGACGGUACCUUGCGAGAAAGCCACGGCUAACUACGUGCCAGCCGCCGCGGUAA